GACGAACGCUGGCGGCGUGCCUAAUACAUGCAAGUUGAGCGCUGAAGGUUGGUACUUGUCCCGACUGGAUGAGCAGCGAACGGGUGAGUAACGCGUGGGGAAUCUGCCUUUGAGCGGGGGACAACAUUUGGAAACGAAUGCUAAUACCGCAUAAAAACUUUAAACACAAGUUUUAAGUUUGAAAGAUGCAAUUGCAUCACUCAAAGAUGAUCCCGCGUUGUAUUAGCUAGUUGGUGAGGUAAAGGCUCACCAAGGCGAUGAUACAUAGCCGACCUGAGAGGGUGAUCGGCCACAUUGGGACUGAGACACGGCCCAAACUCCUACGGGAGGCAGCAGUAGGGAAUCUUAGGCAAUGGACGAAAGUCUGACCGAGCAACGCCGCGUGAGUGAAGAAGGGUUUCGGAUCGUAAAACUCUGUUGGUAGAGAAGAACGUUGGUGAGAGUGGAAAGCUCAUCAAGUGACGGUAACUACCCAGAAAGGGACGGCUAACUACGUG
rnacentral:rRNA from 1 species